UGCUCUGUUGGCCUAGUGGUUAGUGCUCCCACCUUGGAUGCGGGAUGUCCUGGGUUCGAUCCCCGGUCGAGUCA